GGAUGAACGCUAGCGAUCGGCUUACCACAUGCAAGUCGAGGGGCAGCAUGGUCUUAGCUUGCUAAGGCUGAUGGCGACCGGCGCACGGGUGCGUAACGCGUAUGCAACUUGCCUCACAGAGGGGGAUAACCCGUCGAAAGACGGACUAAUACCGCGUACACUCUAUGUUGGGCAUCCAAUGUAGAGGAAAUGAAAUUCGCUGUGAGAUAGGCAUGCGUCCCAUUAGCUAGUUGGUGAGGUAACGGCUCACCAAGGCGACGAUGGGUAGGGGAACUGAGAGGUUGAACCCCCACACUGGUGCUGAGACACGGACCAGACUCCUACGGGAGGCAGCAGUGAGGAAUAUUGGUCAAUGGGCGAGAGCCUGAACCAGCCAAGUCGCGUGAAGGAUGACUGUCUUAUGGAUGGUAAACUUCUUUUAUACGGGAAUAACAAGAGUCACGUGUGGCUCCCUGCAUGUACCGUAUGAAUAAGCAUCGGCUAACUCCGUG
rnacentral:rRNA from 1 species